CAGCCUUAAGCUGUGCCAGGGGAAGCUUGGAUCAGACAUCAGAAAAAAAAAAAUUAUUCACAGAAAGAGUGGUUGGGCUGCCCAGAGAGGUGGUGGAAUCACCAUCCCUGGAGGUAGUUAAAAAAAGACUGGAUGCGGCACUCAGCGCCAUGGUUUAGUUGAUAAGGUGGUGUUAGGUCAUAGGCUGGAUUCCUUGGAUCACCAAGGUAUUUUCCAGCCUAAUUGAUUCUGUAGUUCUGUCAUUCUGUGUUCUGUCAUUCUGUGAAUCUGUGGAUAAGCUCUUCCCAACUUGCCCAUGGUAAGACCUGUAACUAUUGACACAUGAGAAACAUUUGCAAAGGGAAAAGAAACCUGCCAUCAUUUACUGAAAUAUUGGUUGUUCUGCUUAAUCCUUUCAUCAUUCUUUUUUUGGACUUUCUUUUUUUUCUUUGCUGCCUUUCCAUGGAAACAUAACACAGCCUAUUGUUUUGUUUAAUUUUUGUCAUUUGCUUCUCCUCUAUCGACCUCUUCUAAUAUGUGUCUGAUUCUAUUUUUUUCAGUCAAGCUAAUGAUCCAGGAAGAGGAAAGACAUUUUCAGGGCAGCACGAAUAUAAAUGAUAAACUAUGCUAUCUUCGACUCUGGCAGUACGGCCAUUUUCUUGUCAGAGAAGCCCAGCAAAAGGAGGAAAACAAAUGCAAAAUUUCCUAUUGAAUGGUUCAAUUCACCUGGAAUAGCAUUUGAAAUAAUGAAAGCUGUCUCCCAUUAGCAAAGUCCUGUGCCCACUAUUGAAACUAAAUUGUGUGCUGUGGAAUUGCAGUCCUGUCUUCAAAAAUAAAAUUGGUUUUCCUGCUGGGAGAGCA
rnacentral:lncRNA from 1 species